GAUAAGAACGCAGCGAAAUGCGAUAAGUAAUGUGAAUUGCAGAAUUCAGUGAAUCAUCGAAUCUUUGAACGCACAUUGCGCCCCCUGGUAUUCCGGGGGGCAUGCCUGUCCGAGCGUCAUUACAACCCUCAAGCUCAGCUUGGUGUUGGGCCCCGCCGCCCCGGCGGGCCCUAAAGUCAGUGGCGGUGCCGUCCGGCUCCGAGCGUAGUAAUUCUUCUCGCUCUGGAGGUCCGGUCGUGUGCUCGCCAGCAACCCCCAAUUUUUUCAGGUUGACCUCGGAUCAGGUAGGGAUACCCGCUGAACUUAAGCAUAUCAAUAAGCGGAGGA
rnacentral:misc_RNA from 1 species